UACGUAGGGACCGAGCGUUGUCCGGAAUCAUUGGGCGUAAAGAGCGUGUAGGCGGCCACUUAAGUCCUGCGUGAAAUCUUGCGGCUCAACCGCAAGCGGUCGUGGGAAACUGGGUGGCUAGAGUGCGGGAGAGGAGAGUGGAAUUCCUGGUGUAGCGGUGAAAUGCGCAGAUAUCAGGAGGAACACCGGUGGCGAAGGCGGGUCUCUGGGCCGAUACUGACGCUGAGGAGCGAAAGCGUGGGGGAGCGAACAGG
rnacentral:rRNA from 1 species